CCUACGGGAGGCAGCAGUAGGGAAUAUUGCUCAAUGGGGGAAACCCUGAAGCAGCAACGCCGCGUGGAGGAUGAAGGUUUUCGGAUUGUAAACUCCUUUUGUUAGAGAAGAUAAUGACGGUACCUAACGAAUAAGCACCGGCUCACUCCGUGCCAGCAGCCGCGGUAAUACGGAGGGUGCAAGCGUUACUCGGACUCACUGGGCGUAAAGGGCGCGUAGGCGGGAUAGCAAGUCAGAUGUGAAAUCCUAUGGCUUAACCAUGGAACUGCAUUUGAAACUGUUUUUCUAGAGUAUGGGAGAGGUAGGUGGAAUGCUUGGUGUAGGGGUAAAAUCCGUAGAGAUCAAGAGGAAUACUGAUUGCGAAGGCGACCUGCUAGAACAUAACUGACGCUGAGGCGCGAAAGCGUGGGGAGCAAACAGGAUUAGAUACCCGAGUAGUC
rnacentral:rRNA from 1 species